UGAUGAUACGGCUGAUGGAGGGUAUGCGUCUUCACUGUGCCAGUAUUAAAGCGAGGAAAAACUCGUGAGACAGUAGAGAAGCACGCAGUCAGACAGGUCGUCUUGUGCUCACGGAGCCGGGAUACUUCCACGGAUUUCAUUACGAUGGCUUGGAGAGGCGCGAGAACACGGUCGUUUUGUCGACCAAUUCAUUAUUUACCCUAAGGCCAGUGUUGUUUCUGUACAGAGGAUUCAGCGGAAAGGAAAAGGUGAUGACCUGGAUUGUGCCGUGUGAAUGACUGAAUACCAUGAAGCACACACAAAAGCUGCUGUUCAUUGUGUGCUUCAUCCUGGUACUGGGCUUUAUUUACUACUCCUCCUGGAAGCUACAUCUAUACGUAUGGGGUCAGACGCCUCAGAGGAUUGAAGAAGAGACAACUGUAGUCCUGACAGAAGUGAAAAGAAUUACAGAGUUGAAAACAGACAACAACGUGGGACGAAUAGUAGGUACACCAGUGUAUGAUACACAGGGCUUUUCCCUAAAUCUGGACAAAAAACUGCCACCAGAGUUGGCAUACAAGUAUGACAACCUCAGCGAAGGAGAGUGCAAGCCAGGAUAUGCAGCAGCCAAGAUGACCAACAUCUAUCCUAAGUUCAUAAAACCAGCACCCAUGUUUCUUGAUCAGAACUUCAGACGUCUAGGAAAAGUCAACAGUUACUUACCUCCCUUUGGAUUCAGAACGCAAGAAAGAAUCAUAGACAGUAUUUUAACUGCCACAAAAUAUUAUGGACUUGGAAAGGAGCUGGACAGUCUCAGGUGUAAAAGAUGCAUCAUUGUGGGCAACGGGGGCAUCCUCUCCAACAAGUCUCUGGGCUCCCGUAUAGAUGACUAUGAUGUUAUAGUAAGGUUGAAUGAGGCCCCAAUAACUGGUUAUGUCAAAGACGUCGGGACCAAAACCACCAUGAGGAUAACCUACCCAGAGGGAGCUUUCCAGAAGGCUGAACUUUAUGAAAAAAACUCACUGUUUGUUUUUUCUGCUUUCAAACCUCUGGAUUUCAAGUGGCUCAGACAGAUGGUCUUCAAGGAGAAUCUGAGGGGCACACAGGGUUUUUGGAAGCCGGUGGCUCGCAAAUUGCCUCGCGAGCCAAAAGAAAUAAGAAUCCUCAAUCCCUUCUUUAUCCAGGAGGCUGCCUUCCAGUUCAUAGGCCUGCCGUUAAACCAUGGCCUAAUGGGCAAAGGGACGUACGAUGUAUGCACUCCGCUCAAGAAUCAUGUUUGCCUGGACAUCUGCUGUAUCAGAACAUUCCAACUUUGGGAACAGUUGCUAUAACGAUGGCACUACACAACUGUGAUGAGGUGGCAGUGGCUGGUUUCGGCUACGACAUGAGCACACCCUAUGCACCUCUGCACUACUACGAGAAUGUCAAGAUGUCUGCUAUUAAAGAGUCAUGGACACACAACAUAUCCAAGGAGAAGGAGUUCCUCCGCAAGCUGGUGAAGGCCAACGUCAUCACAGACCUGACCCACGGUAUCUGAGUUUACUCCCACCUACAGUCUCCUUCUGCGUUUCCCAAAGGACUACAAAACAGGAAGCUGGGAAACGGAUAGAAAAGAACCCUUAGAUUCCGGGUGGCCUGAACACUGCCGGGGUUUUCAUAUCAAAGGAGAUCUUUUUUUUUUUAAAGAUACAGGAGGUUUUCUGUGGAGAGAUGCACACAUGUGCCUUCAGAACCAAAGAUUCCAGCUGAUCGAAGCAGGGGAUGGGGGGUCAUGGGGAGGACUUAUCAAGAGGCGGUCGGAGGAAAGCUCUUCAGCCCCACGCAUCAAUGCUUACCCCCCACCCCACCGCCCUGUUGACAUACACAUGUCAGGAUUUCGCUGAACUUGCUGGCCAACUUGAUGAAGGGACAUAAAGGAAUAAAGAGAGGACGGUAACAGAACGUGUGCGGGGAUGGGCUGAUUAUUAGCAGUGCCAAAUGUACCUCGUACAGGGGAGCAGUUCUCUCCUUUUGCUGCCUGAAUGUAUUCACUUUACUCAGUGUUAAUAUCAAAGAUUUCUAUAUUGCUUUUUAACAAGAUGCAGCAGCCCCCAUCCCCCACCUUCCCUCUGUCCAUUCAUUCACAUCUGUCCAGGGUCCAAAAUGAACACCUGCCAAGUCAGAUAGUAGAUAAAGAGGGUCACCUGCCACUCGGACACUUUUGAGACACUCACAAUCGAGUGUUGUCGUAAUAUAUAGACUUUUGUUUCAAUUUCCUCAGUUUUUUUUCUGUAAGGGAGUUAUAUUAGUGACUAUAAACCAGGUUGUGUUGUUAAGCUGGCUCUACAGAGUGGUUGUGUGUUUCUGAUAUCUGGUGGUCAGUUAUCCCCAUGUCACCAAAGGUCACCAAAUAGAUUAAAACAAACAAGUUUACAGAUAAAUUAUUUAAAUGUUUUCAAUUUUCAGCUUUUUAAUGAUAAUUUUAGUAAUCAGAAUCUCUACACUAAACAGAAUUGAAAGUGUGUGGUUUCGUUGGUCUUAAUUCUUUUUAUUUGGUCUUUUUUUUGUUGUUUCUGGCAGGUGAGCCCAGAAGUUAAAUUCGGACACCGACCUCUCUCUUCCACCUCUUUGUGUCUUUGUAAAUUCUUCUUCCUCUCGGUUGAUUCACAUCAUGGUAUUGUCUUCACCACUUCAUCAGCUACAGCAUAGACGUACAGUAACGUGUCCUGGGGAAAGAGAGUAGAUUCUGUAUGUCCGAUCCCCUUUUCCAACCACCUGUUGCUGCAGAUGUUCUUGUUCUUCAGUAAAUGGUGAAAUCUCAGAUCGUAGAUUAUAAAUAUAUAUAUACACACACACACACACACACACACACACACACACACACACACACACACACACACACACACACACACACACACACACAUACAUAUAUAUAUAUAUAUAUAUAUAUAAUAUAAUUAUUUCUUUGGUUGUUUUUAGGUUACUUUUAAUUAUUUAUUUUACAAAGUCCCAGUGUUUUGGUCACAAGCCUACUUUCUGUUCAGUUAAGAGAAAACGCAAAAAGUUUGAAUUUGUGUUUCUUUUCAAAAUUCCCCACCAUGUUUUUCUACAGACACUGCAUCAUCUUUUAAGUUUGUGGCAAAAGCAGUGGUGGGAUUGAAGGAUCAAUCUGUUUUUUAAUUGGCUUAAUGUUAAAUGUUGUUUCUGUCCUUAAUGCAGCUUAUGUUAGCACAAUACUGUUGUGCUCUUUUCUACGAUGGACGCAUUCACAGUUUCUUAAAACUGAGAUAUUCUAUGAUGUUAUAAUUGCAAUGCUCAUUGUCAAAUUACAUACAUAAUAUUACAUGGUCUGAUCAGGCCUUUGCACUUUGCAGAGAUGGUUCUGCCCCAUGCCUCUCAGUAUUUCAGUAUUCUCCCUCAAAAAAUGAUGUGUCAACAUGUCACAUCUGUGUGCUUUUUGUCAUUUUAUCAAAUUAAUGCGAUAAACAGCUUUACAAUA